GGAUGUCGAUUUCGAUAUCAAAUUAAGCUGCCCAUUAUGUGGCUUAGCCGAACUCCCCUCCUUUUAGUGUAAAAAUAUCGAUAUAAUAAAGAAAACCAUUAAAAUAUUUUAGAAUCUAAAUUUAUCACUCUCUCAAUUAAAAGAUGUCAUUGAUUCCGAUGUAGGAGAAUGGACACACGAUUGAUCGACUUGAAAAAAAACAAGGCAAAAAAAUAACACCGCCUAUUAUCCUUUUUUGAAAGACCACCGCCUAUUAUCUCACUCCCAAUUCCCGCCAAUUAUCUCAUUCCUCCCUAAUACCUCUGAUAUCUUCGCCGGCCGUGGAUGAGCUCUCUUGAUCUUGGCUGAGCUCUUCCGAACCUGAUUUCUUUUUCUGCUUCCGUCUCUCUUUUAUCUGCCCUAAAACCAGGGCAUCAUCCAACAUUUCGCAGAACUUUCGAUCUCGCUGCCAUCUGAAUUCGCGAUAAUUUAGAUGAAUUCGCCACAAUACGGCUCCUCUAGCAUUGAGGAAUUUGGCCGAUUUCUUGAGGGAGACCUGCAUGGUUCAUCGGAGUCCGAAGAUGAUACUGAAAAGCAAAAAGCGGAAGCGUCGUCGAAGGAGGCGUGUACUCACCCUGGUUCCUUUCAAGAUAUGUGUUAUGUGUGCGGGCUUCCCGUAAACGAGAAAGAUUU